UACGUAGGGAGCAAGCGUUGUCCGGAUUCAUUGGGCGUAAAGAGCACGCAGGCGGUUUGGCAAGUCGGAUGUGAAAUCCCGGAGCUCAACUCCGGACCUGCAUCCGAAACUGCCCGACUAGAGGUAGGUAGGGGAGAUCGGAAUUCCUGGUGUAGCGGUGAAAUGCGCAGAUAUCAGGAGGAACACCGGUGGCGCAGGCGGAUCUCUGGGCCUUACCUGACGCUCAGGUGCGAAAGCUAGGUGAGCGAACAGG
rnacentral:rRNA from 1 species